AGGCAGGAUCUAGUCACGGUGUAGCGGCGAAGUGCUGCACUGUUUGUGUUUCCUGCUCUAAAUAAAACUGUCACCUUCCGGGCCCUGCCUGCUGUGGUGCCCCAGCAGCAGGGAUGCUUGGUCUCAGACAG
rnacentral:snoRNA from 1 species